rnacentral:lncRNA from 1 species
UUCACAACGAAAACUUGCAGCAAAACCUCAACAAUUUAUGUAACAAAAUUCUGGUUUUUGACCCUUUUACCCCUGGAUCAAUCCUGCCUUUGAUCCGUUAAACCGCGACCCGAUAAUGCACCGACUCGCGACCCGUGACCCGUGAUCCGAAAAUUUGGUAUCAGAGCCUAGGGCUCGGGAAGCGGGUUUGAAGAUCGGAGGAAGCCUCCGCCGCCGGCGGGUGUGUCGGUCGGUGGAGGGCAGGAGUGAAAGAAGGUGUCGAAGGUUCGAGACGGCAGGUGGCUGUUUUGAGAUCGUUUAACAGCAGAAGACAGACGCAUUAAGGUGUUUCGGUCGGCCGUUUUUGUGGUAGACGUACCGGUUAAGACGACGGGGGUAACCGGUGAUAAACACUUGUGUUCGGUGGCUGUUAGCGAUGUUCAAAGGAAGAACGGGGCUAUUCGGUUGUUAGUUGUUGGUUUGCGCGGCUGGUAUACAACCGGUGAUAACAGUAGAUGGUUAGAACGGUUGCCUUAAUCGGCUUGGUUCGUGAUAAGAGGAGACCGGCGUAGUGCGUGAAAAGCGGGCAGAAUGGAUCCGUCAAAGCAGGUGGCUUUGGAUUCGUCUCGUUUGGCAAGGUGAGAAAACGGAAGAAGCGGAUGGCUUGUUUUCUUUGUCGGUGGAGAGCCUCUUGAACAAAGGUGAUCCGAAAAAGGUAAAGAAUGGAGAAAACACGGUGACAUUAUGGCGUUGGAGUUCAAUCGGGUGGCUUUGGAUGUGACCGGGGAGAGGUCGUUGAUCCGUGAUAAGUCGUGAUGUGAUGUUAGUGAACGGUUUCCAACGUGAUGCCAUACUUUGGACGUGAUCAGUGGAGGUCAGGUGUCCGGGAUAGGUCGUGAUGGUUCGGGAAGAAAAAACGGUGAUUCGGGUGUCGUAAAUGAGUGGCGUAAACAACCGAUUAAGGGGGUGAAUGUUGGGUUAAUCGGGUUCGUUUACGGGUCAUGGGUCGACACGUUAUCGGGUCACGCGGGUCAUGGAGUCAAGCAUCAAGUCGGGUCACGGAUUUGACCGGGUUACGGGUCAAAUAAGCAGCUAAAACCGGUAGAUUGUUGAUUGAAUUAAGUUGUGUGAUGCAAAAGGAAUGGAGUACGUGGGCUCGUUCAAUGCAUGUCGUGUAGAAGAAAAGUCCGGUUCUUUAGGUUUCUGUUAGUUUUUUUAAAAGUCUGCACGUGUGGUAUUUUGUAUGGCUAUAAAUUAGCUUUUGUUUAAUGAAUAUGUAACCCUUCAUGUUCAAAAGCCUUUCAUUUUCUCUCAAUACCCAUUAAACAAAUUU